UUUUUAUUAAAAACUGUCUGAUCUAUUCUUUAAAAGUAAAAAAAGAUCAUAAAUAAAACAAUUAACCAAAGCAAAUAUAAAAAAACAAAAACAGCAUGGGACGCAUAAACGGCACCGAAUAAUUAAUAGAAUAUUAAAUUUGGUUCUGUUUGCUAAGGAAGGACUUUUCGCAAAGGGUUUUUGGCAAUUUAUUUACAAAUUUUUGAUCGUAUCUUUAUUCCAUAAAAAAUUUCAUUCAAUGUUUGUAACAAUCUAUACAACGUUUAAGAAACAAGAACAUGUAUUGCACCAUUAUUGAUUAGUUUGCAAAGUUUGAUCGCUGUAAUAUCCUAGGAUAUUGUUGGCUUAGCAUAGGAAUAUUAACAAAUAGUUAUCAAGAAUAAUCUAAAGUACCGACCGUUAUUGAACGACAUUUUUGCAUACCGAAGUACUACUAAAGCGCUGAGUUAGCGGUGGCCGGAUUUGAACUCGUAUCACACAAUAGUCCAAGUUUUAACAUUUUAUUUGACCCUCUAACCAACUUAGCUAUCCAGGAACAGCCAACUCAGCAACAAUUUGCUGUAAUUCGAGAUCCUGCAUCUUUAGCAGCUAAUGAAUAUCAUCUUACUAAAGUUUAAAAACUUUACUGUUCAACAAAACUAAAAAUUUUAUUCGAAGUAACAGAUAAGUUAAAAGAUGAUUUAAAUAAUGUACGGUAUUCUAGUUUAUGUAAAUUCUACAGUUUUUAGAGUUCUACCAAAUUAAAAUGUUAAAAGACUUCAAUUGCAGUAAUCCGUCUCAAGCAAUCAGACAAAUGGAUUUGAAUAAAAAAGUUUAAGAAACUGUUGGUAUAUUGUAUGCUUAAGUAAAAAGACCGACAAAAAGACAUGCAAUUUUGUAGAACAUCAAAUUAGUGAGCUUACAAGUUUAUUGUGAAACUUCAUUUGAGACUUUCAGACGCUAUUUAUUGAAAUUUGUCUACAAUCAACUCUGGAUUAAAGCGGUCCGAAGCUCCAGUUCAUGUAUGAAGUAAUAAAUGACGUUCGAAGCUCCGGUUCAUGUGUGAAGUAAUAAAUGACGUCUGAAGCUCCGGUUCAUGUAUGAAGUAAUCCGGUUCAUGUAUAAAGCAAUAAAUGACGUUUUUGAAGCAACUUCAAUAAAUUAUAAAACUUUUAUUUAAAAAAAUGUAUUACCUUUUUUACAAACACAAAAGUACAUAUUUGAAAAAAACAUCUGUGCACCUCUUAAUCUUAAUAAUGUUUAUAUUUUUAUAACAUUUUUAAAUAACAGUUACAUACAUUUUUAUAUGUUAGAAAUAGAAUAAAACUUUGUUAUUGAAUCAACAUACAUGGAAAGCAGAUGUUUGCUCAAAUAAGUUUAAUAUUGUAUGUGUCGUAUUGUAUGUGUCGUAUUUACAUCUGAACAACUCGGCGCGGAAUUAUUUUUCAUUUGGAUUUAUUAUACUAUUUAACAUUAUUUUUAAAUUUAUAAAGUGCCUGUA